UAAUUAUUUUCUCUCCAUUGACACCCAUUCAUAUUUUUCGAUCUCAUAGGUCCCAUGAGCUCUACCGGAAGGGUCGUGACUUCGCCACUCCAUAAAGUCUGCCGCCAGUCAGAGUAUUAACAACACAAGCUGUGUUCGAAAUCGUUCCCUAUACACUCGUUCCCUAUUCCCUAUAUAGUCUACAUGAUAUGGUGCACUAUAUAGGGAAUAGGGAACGAGAAUUCGGACACUACGCUUAACAUUUCUAAACGUCAUUUGCGUCAGUAAAUGCGCCGGGUAUUUGUGUGAUCCAGACAGAUGCGCCCACAUCAUGUAAACAAACCGGACACUCACGAGGAAAGCUGGAGGUUGUAUUGAUGUUGAAUGUUACAUUUCCUUGUUCAAGUUUUUUUUAACUAAUUUUGAAUGUUAAAUUUUCUAUGUUAAAUCCCAAAUAAGAGACUCCAUCAUUAAAUGUAUUCGUUUUCGCGGUUAUUCAGCUUCUUCUCCUCUGGAAAAACACGACCGCAUUGCAUUGUGAUAUACCCUAUUUAGUGCACUACAUCCAUGAUAGGGAACGAUUUCGAACACAGCUACAGAGAACAUACCAACGGUUUGAACCAUAGACGGUUUGAACCACUUGACGCGAUGUUUACCGUUUAAUGGGAAAGAAGGCUCGUCGCCUUUAUUAUGUCCGUGGUCGUCGCAUGCACUAUACGUCAUCCAGCUCAGGUUGCGUAGGCGUGCGUGUGCGCGUGUCAGCUCAUUAGCAUCUGUACCAUAGCGGCCCGUACCGUAGCAGCACACCUCUCCCUAGUGGCCAAAUUGGCCUGGCCUGGCCAGACUGGCCACACUCACACUGGCAGAUUUGAGCACGGUUAGGUGUGAAAACGGCCACGGCCAGAUGGCCUAGUGUGCGUGGACCCUCAGUACCAAGUGCGACCAGAGGGCGCCGAACCUGCGUUGAGUUUUACUCAAUGGCUCCCCUGCCGCAGCUUGCCUGCCAUGUGGUUAACUUAAUCAGUUAAUUGGUUGCAUCUGGUGCGUUUCACUUAAGAGGGAACCGGACAGUAGGCCACAUUGUUUUCCUCCAAUGUUUGGCAGUGUAGCGUCUCCCAAUCGCGGUUAAAGACUUUUUGAAGUAAAGAGGAGCAUCUCAUCUGAACCUAAUGUCUAUCAUGGAUAUUUAACUGCAGUUCUGUGAGUAUCCCAACUUAACCAUGAAGAUGAACUGCAAACUGUAAGUCAUAAGUUUCUCAUUACUCUUGGGCACACUGAUGUAUUUUGGCUUCCUGGUGAGUUAACCCGUUACCUGAAGGUUGAUCUGAGUUUAAGGAUGUUUUAUUGGUUCAUGGGUUACUUAGGUGUUUGGUUAAUGUUGGUUUUAAUGGUUUGUUAAAAUGGGUACAGGCUAGGAAUUUGCGAUAUAAACGAUAAAAAAUGGCCUACGAUAGAGAUUUUAGUUAUAUUGCUCUAUCGCGAUAAUGUAUGUUUGACGCGAUCUAUCCAUGACUCGCGAAAUAUAAAGAGCCACGAGCUGCAACCGUCUGCAACGCAUCGUCGCGACCCGCGAAUUUUAAAAAGAGCCACGAGCUGCAACCAGCUGCAUCGCAUCAUCCGCGACCCGCGAAAUUUAAAGAGCCAUGAGCUCCAACCGGCUUCAACGCAUCAUCAUCAUCUAUAAGUAAAUAUGGCUGAAAGCGAAACGGAGGAACUGGUGAUUGCGCUCAUUUCAUGUUCAUUUCAAAAUGAUAUGCGUUCAUUUUGCACUUGUUGUAUGUUUUAAUAGCAAGUAUCUGUGCACACACUUGGAAGAUUUUUCUUUAUUUAAAAUAGCCAUGCCUAAUACUGGACGUAUUUCCCUAAUUCACAGUAUCCGUUUCUUUAUUAACAAGACCCCACCAGUUUUAAUUUCAUUAAGAGAAGUAUACGUCUUUACACAGAAGAUUUUUUUCUUUUUUAAAGUCUCUGCAGCUACAACAUUAUGUUGUAUGAUUAGUUUUGCAAUAAAUGUUCUCAAAACGACAUACUAAGUUUCUUUUUUUUUUUUUUACAUUUAGCAGUUUGACUUUCCUUAGUCUAUGUAACCUGUUCUGAAAUGGUUCUAUUAUGAUUUAUAUAUCGUGAUAUAUAUCGUUAUCGCAAUAAGUUGCAAUGUAUAUCGCAAUAUGGAUUUUAGGCCAUAUCGCCCAUCCCUAGUACAGGCUCCAAGUUAUUAUUGUAUGCUGGAGUAAUAGGUUGGGCACAUGAGUGUUGCUUUAAUGAUGAGGGUGUGGUCUGAGUGAGCGGAGGUGCAUACUGGGAUACAGCGCUGUCUGAAUUCUACCGGUCUGUAGACGCGCCCCCUCAGGGGAAACCGAGUGUUUGAGAAACCGUUGUGACGAAAGUUACAUGGACUAGAAUGUUCUUUAAGAUGGAGACGGGGAUUCAGAAGGAGAAACGCCAGGGGGAGAUGAGGGGGCUCCUCAUCUCAACAGUUAAAACACAACUUCAGUCUGACGCAGAGAACCAUGGAACACAUUCAACAGUCCCCUCCAGACAUCGUGACUCCUCAGGAACAGUUUCAUUUCCAAGAAGGUCUUAAUUGGGGCCAUUCCAAGAUGGAUCCUGCUCCUCAAGAGCAACCCCCCUCCACUGGGUGGUCUUCUGAGCAGAUGACCUCCUUCCUGUCCUCAGGCUGACUAAAGCUCUACCGUUUGCAUCUGUGAAGGCCCCUCAUUCAGGAAACCACUCGACUACAAAGACAUGACUUCAGAGACGUUGAAUCAACCUUGGACACAUUUUGGAGACGCCGAGCAUAAUCCAUCACCAAUGUGGGACGCCACUGAAAAAUGUUGCACAUAAUUUACUUCUCUGGAGACAUUGGUUGUUCUGUUCUGGGUGCCCUGGCAGGAGAGCUGGGGUUGGAUGAUGGAACGUUAUUUGGCAUGAGGUUUUUACCCUGCAUGAUUGUUUGCCCUUUUAUGGCUCAGUGGUGUGUGUGUGUGUGUGUGUGUGUGUGUGUGUUUUGGGUUUGACAUGAGAUGGAUGAUUUUUGAACAUCGCUAGGGUUCUGCUGUGUGUGUCUCACACCUGGCAUGGGGUUCUACCUGCGUGUCCGGGGUUCUAUGUGUGUGUCCGACUUGCUUUGACAGUGAUAAUGUUCAUACGGGGAUCUGUGUGAUUGGCCUGGGAUAUUGGAAUGGUCAACUAAAUCAUACCUGAUGGACGGCCACACGUUUACUUAAGGGCCUCCAGUAGACAUGAAGAGCCCAGAGCGACGCUGCGGAGCGAUAUACAACACACUGGCCAGGAAGGAGGGGUUCCAACUCGAGUGUAAAAGGAUGCAAGCGGUGUGUUCAGAUCAGUGACUUCAAACUAGGAAUACACCAAUCAGGAUCAAUGGAGGAUGGACACCUAAAGGAAUUCCAAAAGGAGAGUCUGAUGUUGGAAAGGGAACUAAAUGGAUAUUCAAGAUAACCUUCAGAUCUGUAAUGAGACGGCUCUUCCUACCUGGCUGGAUUGAUGGAGAGCCCUGUGGAUCUUGUCUUGCUCUCAGUUGCAGGUCUUCUCAGGCUGAACUGUAUUUGUUUCGGACAGGACUGGCUGAACGAUUGGUUCCCUUAAUCAGAACCAAUCUGGGAACUCCAACUAGUGCGCUCUUCGAGCUGAAGUUGCGCUCUUCGAGCUGAAGUUGUGCUCUUCAGCUGAGGAGGUAAGGAAACCUUCACUGGGGCUUCAAGGUGUAAAGAAGAGAAUGUUUCAAAGUGUUCCAUGGUACUGAUGAGAACCGUUGUGUUCUACUGGUCGGGAGGAAGAACCCUCACAUCUUCCUCUUGGCCUUUCUCCUCUGAGAAUCCUGGCGCCAUCUUGUAGGAUAUUCCAGCUCAUGUAACUGAUGUCAUGACAGAUUCUCAAACACUUGGUUUCUCCUGAAGGGCGUGUCUAUAGAACUGAAGACUUCAGAAAGCACUGUAUCCCAGCAUGCAUCUCUGCUCACUCAGACCACACCCCCAUGAGUAGAAUGCAACACUCUAGUGAUGGAGAUGUAGAGUUUUAUAAGUAACGAGGGAGCAGACAAAGGUGAUUAGAACACAAUGGCAUGUCAAGUCGGUAAAUCUUUAAACAAUGAAGAUGGUUGGAUAGUUCAGGAAUUGGGCUUUUUAUUAUGGGCGGUUCUUUCACUCAGAUGCCCACUUCUCACUGGACCUGUACAUGUGUUGGCUGGCUGGCAUGAUUUGCUGUUGGUGAUGAGGCGGUCAGGGUGACGUUGCAGGGCUAUGGUCGGCUCUCUGUGAGCUCAACGUUUAGAUUUGCUCUGUAUGGUUUGUACCCUGAAUAAUCUAGAUAAUUGUAAAAUGUAGACGCGGUUUUGUAUUGAAUGAUUUUAGGUUUAAAGUUGUUGUGGGACGUACAUGGUAGUUUGGUUCUUCGUACAGUUUUGAGUGAUAUAACUUGUACACACUGGGUUUAUAAUAAUGUAAAGGUACACUGAAUAUUAGCAAUGACCAACAGCAACAAACAGAUCUCCUCAAGGUAAGUCUGUUGGCUGUGUUUUAAUGAAGACCAUCGCUGGACUUCAGGAUCUUCCUCCGUUCAGCUCAAGGUGAGGCGCUGGUUCUGUUUUUUCUUUGGUUGGUUCCGGCCGGAAUGUUCGGAUUCCAGUCGGACGUUUUGUGCUUCCCGCCGUGGAAGGUUCUGAGUGCGGUCACUUGAUUUAGUCCCAAUGGUUAGCAUAGAACGUUGUAGUCUUGACAACCAUAAGAAACCACCUGGCAGUUAGUUGGACGGGAGUCCCCUGAGGGAAUCUGGCAGAACGUUCUGGAUUGUAUUAGCGUAACCUCGAGCCGUUGCCAACGGAAACUAUUUUUCAGUCGUAUCCAUUGGGAAUUGUUGCCCCUUAUCUUAAACAGCUUAAGUUUAAUAUUAAAUACAUACUGACACGUACGUCGUACAAUAUGUUGAUCAUUUCCGAUGGUUGCGCCGUACUUUUAACCACGAUGACGUGACGGGACUCUCGCUGCGUACAAAUCGGCGUUCUACUUGCGGGCCCUUUUUUGACAUCAGUGACGGCUGAAAAUCAUUUCAAGGUGGCAUUUCAACGGAACCCAGCACCUGAAUAUGGCUGAGUACAUUUGAUUUAAUAUCGAUACUGCUUAGUGUUCUUUAUUACUUCUACUUUUGUACGUUCUAAAUAUCUGCUGUAAUUAAUUGCCACAGAAGUUAAACCCUACUAAAUGGAAUGACGUUAAACAACCACUUUGGUGCAGAGUUACCAACUGGAUAAUAUCAAAGCUAAAAUAAUGGCCGUCCUUCCCACAUGUUACAGUAGAUGAUACUCUAGAACUGUACAAGGUUAAAAAGGUAACAUGUAGUUUGUCCCAAGGUGUCUGCCUCCUCACCCAGAGCAAGACCUCCACCUCCUCACCCAGAGCCAGACCUCCACCUCCUGUCAGAAGUCCUCCAGAUCAGUGCUCUGCUGAAAGGUGAGGCUGAGAGGCUGGGGACCGGAGGCUUGUGGUGCCAGGAUGGACCAGAGACUGAGGCUGGAGACCAGGGGCCUGCAGCACCGGACCGGAGGGUAACCAUCACCAAGCUCAUCUGAAACACUAAAAUCCACGACCAGGAAUCUAUGUCUGGGGGAGCCGUGCUGAUGGAGGAGCCGUGCUGAAGGAGCUGAUGGAGGAGCCAUGCUGAUGGAGGAGCCGUGCUGAAGGCCCUGCCUCGUGGAGGAGCUGGUGGAGGCCCUGCCUGGUGAAGGACGUCUGUCGUGGGACCAGGAAUCUGAGGAGAGCUGCUGGAGGAGCUGAGACGCUGGAGGACGACUAGGAAUCGACCAACAAGGAUUCCUCAACGUGUUUCUGGAGCGGAGGCGAGCUGGUAGGGUAGCCGUGAAUCUGGAGGAUGACCAUCACUCUACCAACAAGGAUUACGUUAGGGCCAGACUCGCGCUGUUUGUUCCAGACCAGGACUCUGGCUGAGGUGAGCUGAUGGAGGAGCAAAGACUCUGGAGGACGACAUCACUCUACCAACCAGGAUCCUUACGAGGAAUCUGGAGGACUGAUGGAGAAGCCGUACGUCAGGAAGGCAAAUCCUGAGGACAACCAGGACUCUACCAUCAAGGAUUCCUCACACAUCUGAGCUGAACCUCACCUGAUCCUGUUUGGUCGGGGGUAGACACACCUGAUCUGAACCCGCCCUGAUCCUGACAUCCUGCUGGUCCCGUCUCCUCAGUUCAUCUGAGCCUUGUCCUCCAGAAGACCUGCUGAGCUCAGCAGUCUGAGGCUGAUGGAUCAAUGACCUCCAGUGGGAAUGAUCUUCUUGACCCCACAUGUAACCGUGUGCUUCCACACGCCUUUCCUGCAUGUCUGUCACUAACCUCACUACUUCACUACUCUCUACUGCUUCCUCUUCUUCCUUCUCUGUUAUUCAAACCUUUACACUGAAGGCGCGUCUUCCUGCCCUCAGAGGGUUCAGCGUUAGGGUUGAGAGUCAGGGUUUAGAGUCAGGGACAGAGCUGGUCAGGGAGGACUGCUUUUACACAAACCUCUUCACUUCCUUUCGGAAUGGUGGUGACAUUUUGGAAAGAUUCAUUUUGGAAAAUGUUUUCCUCUGCCUUCCUUUACAAAAUUGUAUUAAACUUCUGUCAAGUGUUUCUGUUUAUACAUUAAAAUCCCAACUUGACUACUGCAUGUUUAGUGCGGUUCAUUUAAUUGUCCUUUAACUUGGUUAAUGUCAAGCUAAACUCCUGCAAUACAUUUAAUAUACAUGAUUGUUAUUCAGCAAUGUUCACAUAAUCCAUUUGUAAAAAUAUUAAACCUCCAUAUUGCUACAAAAUUGAAGCCUAUUCAUGUAUUUAACAAUGUACAUACUGCCCUGCAGGCCAUUCUCUGCUACUACAACACGUUCAAUCCACCAACCCGUCUCACAUCAAUGUACUAUAGCUACGUUGGUUCAAAUGAAAAAUGUAGUUUGGUGUGAGACUGUCUAGCAGAGGGAGCUGUCAUACACCUUAAUAAUUCAGGAAUAUCUGUAUUUACAUUUUAAAAUGUUC
ensembl:lncRNA